AUUUUUAUUAAGAUGACAAAAUUUCUGGUUCGGAUUAAAUAGCUUACCACAUCAUUACUUUCUAAAAUAACUUGGUUUUUAGUGUACAAUUUUAAAAAUCCAAUAACAAUUUACAACAGAACUAUUAUAGUUAAGUACAUGAUAAUUAAAUUUGAAAUAAUUAUUUGGUAUUCAAACCAAAUAUUUUUCACCUUUCUGAAAUAGUAACAAUGUUUUAUAUCGAACAAUUCUCAUCUCUAAGAUAAAAUUUUC